AUGAGACACUUUGGUCUUAUGGCAAAUCUUCGGGGAUACAUGGCAGGAGGAAAGGAAUGGGUUCUUGAUAGUGGAUGUACCGAUCACAUGAGCGGAGAUAAAGAUAUGUUUCGUGAGCUUGCUGAAAACGACGGCCCUCGAAAGUAUGUCACUUUUGGUGAUAACUCAAAGGGUAAGGUGGUUGGCCUCGGUAAGGUGGCCAUCUCACAUGAUAGCUCCAUACAAAAUGUCAUGCUCGUUGAAUCUCUUGGCUAUAAUCUGCUUUCUGUUUCUAGACUAGCUGACUUUGGUUUCAAUGUCCUAUUUACCGAAGUAGAUUGCCAAGUGUUUUGUAGAGAUAAUCAUAAAAUGGUCUUUACUGGUAUACGUAGAGGUGACCUUUACAUUGUUGAUUUCACUAAAAAGGCUCAACCUAGAACUUGCUUAAUUGCUAAAUCCUCUAAAGGUUGGUUGUGGCAUAGACGGUUAGGUCAUGUGGGCAUGUGA
rnacentral:rRNA from 1 species